GACGAACGCUGGCGGCGUGCUUAACACAUGCAAGUCGAACGGAAAGGCCCUGCUUUUGUGGGGUGCUCGAGUGGCGAACGGGUGAGUAACACGUGAGUAACCUGCCCUUGACUUUGGGAUAACUUCAGGAAACUGGGGCUAAUACCGGAUAGGAGCUCCUGCUGCAUGGUGGGGGUUGGAAAGUUUCGGCGGUUGGGGAUGGACUCGCGGCUUAUCAGCUUGUUGGUGGGGUAGUGGCUUACCAAGGCUUUGACGGGUAGCCGGCCUGAGAGGGUGACCGGCCACAUUGGGACUGAGAUACGGCCCAGACUCCUACGGGAGGCAGCAGUGGGGAAUAUUGCACAAUGGGCGGAAGCCUGAUGCAGCAACGCCGCGUGCGGGAUGACGGUCUUCGGGUUGUAAACCGCUUUCGCCUGUGACGAAGCGUGAGUGACGGUAAUGGGUAAAGAAGCACCGGCUAACUACGUGCCAGCAGCCGCGGUGAUACGUAGGGUGCGAGCGUUGUCCGGAUUUAUUGGGCGUAAAGGGCUCGUAGGUGGUUGAUCGCGUCGGAAGUGUAAUCUUGGGGCUUAACCCUGAGCGUGCUUUCGAUACGGGUUGACUUGAGGAAGGUAGGGGAGAAUGGAAUUCCUGGUGGAGCGGUGGAAUGCGCAGAUAUCAGGAGGAACACCAGUGGCGAAGGCGGUUCUCUGGGCCUUUCCUGACGCUGAGGAGCGAAAGCGUGGGGAGCGAACAGGCUUAGAUACCCUGGUAGUCCACGCUGUAAACGGUGGGUACUAGGUGUGGGGUCCAUUCCACGGGUUCCGUGCCGUAGCUAACGCUUUAAGUACCCCGCCUGGGGAGUACGGCCGCAAGGCUAAAACUCAAAGGAAUUGACGGGGCCCCGCACAAGCGGCGGAGCAUGCGGAUUAAUUCGAUGCAACGCGUAGAACCUUACCUGGGUUUGACAUGGAUCGGGAGCGCUCAGAGAUGGGUGUGCCUCUUUUGGGGUCGGUUCACAGGUGGUGCAUGGCUGUCGUCAGCUCGUGUCGUGAGAUGUUGGGUUAAGUCCCGCAACGAGCGCAACCCUUGUUCACUGUUGCCAGCACGUUAUGGUGGGGACUCAGUGGAGACCGCCGGGGUCAACUCGGAGGAAGGUGGGGAUGACGUCAAGUCAUCAUGCCCCUUAUGUCCAGGGCUUCACGCAUGCUACAAUGGCUGGUACAGAGAGUGGCGAGCCUGUGAGGGUGAGCGAAUCUCGGAAAGCCGGUCUCAGUUCGGAUUGGGGUCUGCAACUCGACCUCAUGAAGUCGGAGUCGCUAGUAAUCGCAGAUCAGCAACGCUGCGGUGAAUACGUUCCCGGG
rnacentral:rRNA from 1 species